GUUUCCCUCAGGGGGAAGAUGGAGGAGAAGUUUCCCUCAGGGGGAAGAUGGAGGAGAAGUUUCCCUCGGGGGGAAGAUGGAGGAGAAGUUUCCCUCGGGGGGAAGAUGGAGGAGAAGUUUCCCUCGUGGGGAAGAUGGAGGAGAGGUUUCCCUCUGGGAGGAAGAUGGAGGAGAGGUUUCCCUCUGGGAGGAAGAUGGAGGAGAGGUUUCCCUCUGGGAGGAAGAUGGAGGAGAGGUUUCCCUCUGGGAGGAAGAUGGAGGAGAGGUUUCCCUCUGGGAG